UCCCUGGAGGACUAGUGGUUAGGCCACAGUGCUCUCACUGCUGUGGCUCAGGUUUGAUUCCUGGCCAGGGAA
rnacentral:tRNA from 1 species